GAGUGAGGGUCCUUUCGAGUGCGGGUCUUUGGGCCACCUCCCAUCCGUGUCUAUUGUACCCUGUUGCUUCGGCGGGCCCGCCGCUUGUCGGCCGCCGGGGGGGCGCCUCUGCCCCCCGGGCCCGUGCCCGCCGGAGACCCCAACACGAACACUGUCGAUGAAGAACGCAGCGAAAUGCGAUAACUUGAUUGAAUGCAAUCAGUUAAAACUUUCAACAAUGGAUCUCUUGGUUCCGGCAUCGAUGAAGAACGCAGCGAAAUGCGAUAACUAAUGUGAAUUGCAGAAUUCAGUGAAUCAUCGAGUCUUUGAACGCACAUUGCGCCCCCUGGUAUUCCGGGGGGCAUGCCUGUCCGAGCGUCAUUGCUGCCCUCAAGCCCGGCUUGUGUGUUGGGUCGCCGUCCCCCUCUCCGGGGGGACGGGCCCGAAAGGCAGCGGCGGCACCGCGUCCGAUCCUCGAGCGUAUGGGGCUUUGUCACAUGCUCUGUAGGAUUGGCCGGCGCCUGCCGACGUUUUCCAACCAUUCUUUCCAGAUCAGGUAGGGAUACCCGCUGAACUUAAGCAUAUCAUAGCCGAGAGGAAUU
rnacentral:rRNA from 1 species